rnacentral:rRNA from 1 species
CUGCGGCAUCUGUUUCUGGGUGGCUAUAGCGAGUCAAGGCCCGUGGCGGCGGCAGAAAUUCGACAGGGAGCGGCGAGCAGGAGAUAGGGGAGCACGCGCCGCGUUGGUUGGGCUCGGAUGGGGUGGUGCGCUACGGGACGAGCGACCACCCGUGCAAGGCGUCGCUUGGGUGGCGGGCGCCCCGGAAGGCAAGCCACUGUCGCCGCGUGCCCGUGCGGCGUGCGCCAUCCGAGGAGGUACCUGGCGCGGCUCCCCGGCGGCUAGCGCGCUAUGUUCCGGUCCUACGUGUCCCCGCUGAUCGUUUACCACGAGUCGUUUCACGUCGAGUUGUCAAGUCUAAAACCGUCCUGUAAGGUUAAAAUCACUACCAAUCGUACGAACGCAUGAAGACAAAGAACCUUGAUGAAGACCAAUGACUAAACGUUAGUGCGCGCUAACGUCAAAGUAACGGAAAGAGCACACACAACCCGGAGGAAAGAAGAAACUAUCGUAGGUGAUACCACUGGUUUUCGAUGGAUACCCGGAUAAGUAGGAAGGUCGUACAAUAACACUAGGACAAACGCAUAUAGAAAAUGUUGCACGAUUCUCACUUACGUCAGGACCGCCAGGAUGAGAGCAGCAAGUGACCCAAGCCCUAGCGAUAGUCAUGCUUGAGUGACGAUCACCUCACGUACUCCACCUCUAGGUCCUCCUCCUCGGUUGCCAACCGAGUCCCAGUUGGAGUCGGGCCCUUACUUCCAGUCGUAGGUCCUAGGCCCUCAUUGCGAUGCUCGCUUUUGAGACCACUAUGCGUCGUUGUCCCCGUCGGAGGUGUUAGGCCACAAGUGUAGCAGACUAGUAAGUCUAGUUCUGCUCUCCACUAGGUUUACACACUUAUCGAUCGAAACUAGACGCGUCAUCAGUAUCGAGCAGUCUGGAGUCUUAGUGUUACCACCGUUCUUAUCUAUGUGCCCUCCUCUAGAAGGACCGGAAACGUAGCCUCCGUUGCACGGUGGAUCUCAAACCGGUACCCACAUCAAUCAGAUCGUCAAACACUGUAUUUUAUGGAUCAAAGAACUCACAUUCGUAAUAUGUUUUAGUGUGGUCUUUUCGUCUCACGUCUCUACCACCAACACAAAAUGCAUCAUCGGUGUGUCCCUGUAUCCCUUUACUCUGUAUCAUACGCUCUCGAGGAAUCGAAACGAACACUCUUCGAAAAUGCUUAAUAUAAACAGAAAAAAAAUGCUUAAUAUAAACAGUUCUCACUAAAAACUUACCCACAAUGUGUUAAACAGACUUAAGUGUUGGUAUAUAUGCUCACACACAGAGCUCUCUCUACCUUACGGUCA